UGAUUGGUGAUACUAGAGGCUGUGAGACAUGCGAGAGAAAAGAAACACAGACGAUCUCCAUGGCAAUUCACCAACAGAGCUCGGAGCGGCGGUUACUAGACAAAAAAGGGAAACGAAAAGAAAGGAGACGUUGUAAUAGAGCGAAGCAACCUGAAACACGUUUUGGCAGCACUGUUAAUGUGACCCAGCAUGCUUCCCGUGAUCCAGCUGACUUCGCCUCCAAGCUCGUCUUUUAUUUUGAAUUUUUGGAGGGAAUUUAGCUCAGAAUUGAGGCCCUUCUUCACCUAUAAAUAAGAGGAUCUUCCUUUUCUAUUUUCUCACUUUUGAGCUUAGUGAAAUGCUGCAAAAAUUGUUUUCCAGACCUAUUGCUCUUGAGUCACUCCUUCUCUUCACUUUCUCUACCCUUUCCUCUAGCUUCUUUCCAUAGUAGGAAGGCCUUCUGAGCCGAGAGAUCUCUACACACACUCCUUCCAUUAAAAACACACCAAAACACCAUUUAUCUACUUCCAUUCCGCUGUACUUUCCUGUCUUGUUGUUUGGAGUUGCAACCUGUGAGUUCCAGGCCUGGCAAGCUUCCAUCAGUUAAUCUCUACAAGUGUGAACCAUAGGACUUACCAGAAAAGUGCAAAGCUUACAGAAAAAGAAAGAGGUCCAAGAAACUAGUUUGACAAUAGUGAUAAACUAGGUGUGAUUUCUUGAAGAGCAAGAUUGUUGAGUUUUCAAAGUCUGAUUUCAACUCCUGCUCCAACGCACACUCCUCCCCCUCUGCUCACACCUAAAAGGUGAUCAUUACAAGAGAAAAACCGAACAGAAACAUGGACAAAACAGGAAAAUAAGGGUAAGCUAAUGUAAUUUAAUUAUGCAAACAUACAUACAUUUCGUACAAGUACAACCAAUGCAGAACCAAACACUACAACAUACCAAAACAAAUAUAGGUAAGCAAAUAUAAAUUGAACACUAUACUUCAUGCAUAAAUCGAACACCUGACUUAACCAUUCAGAUUUUAUGAAUAAUCAUCAGAAUAUCAGGAUGAACUUCAUGGAUUUCAUUGUCCAUAUUCAUACUUCCCACUUCAAUACACAUUUCACUGAGACAUUCCUCCUUAGAAUUCUCUUCCACAUUACUUGAAACAUAUGCCUUAUUUGAAUUUCAAUAUAAUUUCUCAUACACAAUAGAUCAAUACAACUAUCUCAAGCAAUCAGAGUCAAACAGUGAAAUUAACAUUUAAAGUCCAAAUAAUCAUUCAUAGAAGAAAACCGAACGACAACAACACAACCCCUGAGUACGACCGAACGAAAACUCACUAUUUAUGACAAAACCGAACACCAUUACAAAAUUGUAUACCAAUACAUGACCGAACGCUAGUACUAAACAAAAUACUAGCACGAAAUCGAGUGUUAUACCCUAAGAUGAAUGCCUAUAGUUUAGUCUGAAGACCUAUAACUUAAACUUAACGCAUUUAAGCUUAAUGCUAGUACGGGACCGAGUACUACCAAGAACGAUCACUAGUACGAAAUCGAGCACUACCAAGAACGAGCGCUAGUACAGGACCGCGCACUACCAAGAACGAGCGCUAGUACGAGAUCGAGUGCUAACACUAGCAUAACUGCUAGUACAAGACCGAGCGCUAACACUAGCAUAACUACUAGUACACAACCGAGCACUAACACUAUCAUAACUACUAGCACACGACCGAGCGCUAACACCAGCAUAACUACUAGUACACGACCGAGCGCUAACACUAGCAUAACUACUAGUACACGACCGAGGGUUAGCACUGGCACUACUAAUAACGAACGAUAAUACCAACCCGAAGACUGUCGAGUUAAAAAACGAGUACUUUUAAAACUGAACAUCAAUACUAAACCGAACAACACUUAGCCAGAAUAUCACUACGAAACCGAAUACCGCUCAACCCGAUUACCUGACCUGACCGAGCGUUCAAUAACGAGCGUUCAAUAACAAGCGCUCGACUUUCUACAUAAUUUUGCAGAACUUCUCAACCAGUUCACAAGUCUCAGCCAUACACAAAAAUCAAGCCAACAUCAAAUUAUCCACACAUGCACACGUCCAACCAACAAUUUCAAACAUAAACAAACAUAAUUAAAUUACUAGCUUCCCUUACCUCUUAACUGGAUCAAAACUCACAAUUGCAGAAAAUCACUCACCACCAAAAAUCUUAGAAACCUAAGGUUCACUGAUUGAUGAAAAAUAUACCAACCACAAGACCAAAAAUGUGAUCAGAAUUUUAAGAAAAGAAGAUGAUAGACACAUGCAACCAGAAACAUGGCUUGAAUGUGCCAGAAAACAGAAUUUCUAAGAAGAAGAACUUACCAGCUCAAACAACCACUUAAUCGGUUCGAAAGAAAACUCUUGAUACUAGGAGGGCUCAAGCACCACCUGAUUGAUGAUCAGAUGAAGAGAACGUGUGAAGUUCUAGAGAGAAUUUAGAAAGUUGGCAAAGAGAUAGUGCAUACAGAAAGUGGAACGUGAUUUGAAAUUUUCAUUUAAAUACUAUCGUCAAAACUGAACGGUGCACUCUCUUACAUACACCUGUCUUCCACUAACCUACUUAAAUUUUCUCAGUCCUCACAAAAAGUCAGAAUUCAGAUCAGAAAGAAUUAAUCUACAUGAUGAUGGUUUCUUGAAUUCAAUAGGCAAAGGUCCUUUGAAUCUUGUGAUUAACAGUUUUCAUGAGCCUAUCAAGACAGGAAUAUCAAGGAGUCCAAAUCAAGAGGAGAAAAGAUAGAUCAACAUCUUGAAACCUGCUGAUGAAACUAUAGAAAGCUCAAAGGAUGAAGAAACUGAUCUUAUGGCUGAAAGGUUUUCUAAAUUCGUGUUCUGUAAAAAAGAAACUAACUUGAAUCUUGCAGGAAAUAAAGAGCACUUUAGAAAAAAAGAUGAAGAUGUUGCUUCUUCCAGUACUGUAUGUGAAACAGAAGGAAGUUCACUCAAAUUGAAGCAAAGACUAGAAAAAGAACAUGAAGGCAGAGAUGAACACCAACCCACUAAAGGACAAUAUGUUGAUUCAUUAAGUGUGGAAAUGUCUACUAGAGCAACUCUUUACAGACCAAAGACUAACUUUGAAAGACAUAUGGUCGAGCAAAUGCAAACACUGGUCAAUCCACCUACACAUCCAAGCUUGACAAAAUGGAUCAAGAGAUUGUUGCACUCUAGAAGCUAAUUGGGAAUCAAAAUUUGGGUGAUGAAAGAGUAGCAAUAGAUGAUGAGAUUGAGGAAGAUGAUGGAGAUGAUGGCAGUAAAGAAAAAGAAAGAGAGCAAGAGGAAACAGACUUCUGCUUGAUGGAAAAAUCUACAAUAUUUGAAAGCAGCGUGAGUAGUGAUGAAUCUAAAUGCACCGAAAAUAGGUACUAUCAACUACUUGAUAUUUUUGAAGAAUUGUAUGAUGAAGCUAUGAAAUUGCAACACUUAAUCAUCAAGUUUAGAAAGGAAAACAAGAGGCUCAAAAAUAGAUUAGAGGUUCUUGAUAAUGAAAAUGAUAGUUUGAAAUCAAAGCUAGAAUCUCUAGAGAAUAUAUCUCAAAACACUAUGCAUGUGAACAAGAAGUGUGAUUAAGAGUGUGAAAUAUGUCCAAGAAAAUUGGAAAGAAUUAAAUUUCUUAUGAAAACUUUAUCAAAAUUCACACUAGGCAGUUCAAAUCUUGAUGCUCUUCUUGGUUCACAAAGGAUUGUGUUGAAUAGAGAAGGAAUAGGAUAUGUCGGUAAAAGUAAUAGAUUUAGAACUAGAAGGUUUAUUGACAUAAGCAAACCCUCUUCAAUUUUCUGUUUCUACUGCAACCAGUUAAGCCAUGCAUCAAAUUCAUGUUAUUACAAAAAUUGUGGAAUUCCUAAAGGAAAGUUUAAAUGGAUUCCUAAGGAACCAAUAAAAUCUUCUAACAUGAAAGGACCCAAAUUCAAAUGGAUACUUGCAUCAAAACCUUUAAACUAUUUUACAGGAGAUUGAAAGGAAUGGAAAAGGACCGGACUCAAGAUGAUGCAUAAAGCUGAAGCAAAUCUCACAAUUUAAAGUGAUAUUGUCAUCUUGAGAGUCAUCAAAAGUGGUAACAAGCUGUAAAUUUGAUAAAAUGUGUAUCAUUUGUGUUCUACAUAAUCAUUUUGAUGUAUGUGUUGUGUGCUUGUCGCUUGAUUUGAAGAGAUAGUGUGAAAAUAUGCUUUGCAAAAUUUAAUAUGUUAUGUUAAAAACAUAAUUUGUUAAAUCUGCUCCAAAGAGAGUUUCUUUUCUGUUUCAAACAGUUUUAACCUCAUCUCUUAAUCAAUUGUUAAAAACUAUUUUGGAUGAUUAUGUUGAUUCCAAUAUCUUCAUAUCUAAAUGCUUUGUGAUUUGGAUAAAUGCAUUGAAUGACUAUAUUGAUCAUGCUCUAAAUGUUAAAACUAAUAUUUCACUUGGUGACACGAUUCAAUGAUCAUAGUCUUUCUUUUUUCAUACAUUACAAAACUGCGGAUUCAUAUCAUGAUUAUUGGAUAUUAACAUUGCAAAAUGUUGAGAAGGAUAUCUUUGCAGGUAUUGAUGUGAGUGAUACAGGUCUAUAUACAUGAACUUUGAUUCUUAAUUAUAUCUUCAAAUUUUAAUAGAUUAAACAAAUUACAUAAUCGAUUAAGUCUGUCAGAUUUUUUUAAAUUUAAGAUGUUAAAGCAUUAAACACUUGUCUUACAUGUUCUUACUUGCUUUCAAAUGAUUUCUAUGAUACUAAACAAGUUUCAAAUGUUCUAAUACACAUGUUUAGCACAAGUUUUAAAAUCAUAGGAUGCAUAGAGCUCAAAAUUGAUUUGAAAAUCAUCAUUCUUUUUAUAUGUAUAUUUGUGUACCACAGUGCUUUGAUACUAUUCUGAUUAAACUGGAAUCAUAUUUUUUACUGCACUAUAUUUGAUAUAUCUUUGUUCUUUGUGUAUAAUACUCUUUGAUACAUACACAUUGCACAUGAUACAUGAGUACUGAAAUAUGUAUUUGAUAUCAAAACUAGGUUCAUGACAAAAUCAAGCAUUAAUUACUCUGAUACAAGUUAUUGAACCUGUUGUAUGAAUGCAAAUUUGUUAUUCUCACUGUCAUAUACUUCAUUGCAUAUUCAUACUCAUUUGAUAUUUCAAAUUGCAUCACAACCACUGUGUUUUACUGGACUAACACUCAACAUCAUUGAGAAAAGUUGUGUUAUGUAGGAUUAUUGCUGUAAUGAUCUUAUAUAUGUUAUUGAACACAUUCACUCAGCAGGAUUUUAAUCGAUUAGACUAUAAUCAAAAUCGAUUUUAAAAUGCUUGUAUGCGAAUAAACUACUGAUUACUGUUACAUUCAUACAUCUGCAUACUCACAUUUUAACUGUGAUAUUUCCUGUAUAUUAUUGAUUCUAAAAUACUUGAUCCACUACAAAAAAAAAGGUUAUUUAGUGGAGUUUUUUUUUUCGAUUUAUGGGUAUUUUUACCCUUUGCAAAGUAAAUUGUAGGGUUUUUCCAAACCGCCAUAGUUUGAGUCGCCACAACUUAUCUACGGGGAUUUUUCGCAACUCCUAAUAUCAUAAUCAAUUUGCGGAGGUUUUUCUACAAAGGCUAUACAAUAACAGGAGAGUAAGAGGACUGAACAUCGCUGGAGGAGUCGACAGUGAUAGCAGCUUGGACGAGCUUCCAUUGGAGUUCAUUGGAGGAGUCGAAACUAAAAACUCGUAGUGAGCGAAAUGGAAG